ensembl:lncRNA
AUGAACAUUUCAAUAAAGGAAAGCUUAGAACAUAUAUGUGAAGUUUUAAGUUAUUUUGGUAUAGAAUAUAUAACGCCUGAGAUUUUCAGAAGAGGGAAAAAUGAUAAAAAAGUAAAAAGAAAAAAAGUAAUAAUAAAAUAUACUUAUUUAAUAAAUGAUUUAUGUCUUUUAUAUAUUUUUGAGUUUAAGAGAAAAUUUAAACCAACAUAUAAUGAAUAUAUUAAAAAGCAAAUAUUAAUAACGGAAGAACAAUAUAUAAGUAGUAACAGAAGUGUCAGUAACGUUAGUAACAAAAAUGAGUCAAACAGAAAUGAGUUAAAAAGAGAGUCAGGGGAUGAUUAUGAACAGGACAAUAACAACAAUGAAAGUAACAGUGACAAUGAAGAAUAUAAUGCUGAGCAUUUGGAUGAAGAUGUUCAUUAUUUAGAUGAUUUUUAUUUAAUAUCACCCAUUGUUGUUUUUUUGUUGGAAUAUUUUCAAUACCCUAGGUUAUACCAAUUACUUAAGUGUAAUUUUCAGAUGGCUAAAGAAUUAUUAUUAUGUAUUGGUUUUUUAAUAGAUUGUAUUGAUUUAUUUGGACAUUACGAUAAAAGACAAAAUUUUUAUAUAAAUUUUUUUAAUUAUUUUAUUAACAACAAUAAUAAUAGUAAUAAUAACAAAGGAAGAAAUCGAGUAGGAGAUUGGAAUUUAACAAAUAAUAUAAAACAAAAUAAAAAACAAAGUAAUGAAAAAUUAAAUAAUAAUAAUAAAGAAGAAGAAGAAGAAGGAUUUGAUUUUUUUUAUAAUAUUAACGAAGCAAUGCUUUUAUUAUCAAAUAGACCAUACGAUUUAGAAUUAUUUUCGUAUAAACAUUUUUACAAGUUCUUAAAUAAAUUAAAAAAUGUUAAUUUAAUAAAUGGUGAUAUAAAUGUUGGAAUGGGUAUGUCAGGAGAAGAAAAAACAAAACAAUUUACAAAAUCAUCUGCGAAGUUACGAAAAAAAGUACAAACAAAUGUGGGAUUGAGUAAGACCAAAAAUAGUUGUAAUAAUGAUGGAGAUGAUGAAAAUGAAAGUGAAGAAAUGAAAACAGAAAUAAAUAAAAAUAAACAAAAUGAUUUGGAUUUAUAUUCUUAUGCAUCAUAUAAUUAUUCAACAUAUGAAGAACAAUUUUUAACAAAUUAUUAUUAUAUGAAUAUAAAUUAUGACCAAGUCAUAAAAAAUGAUUUAUUAUUAUAUUUAAAUGAAGAUGUUCAUAAUAUAAUUUCUAUAAAAAAAUUAUUAAAAAAUAUUAAUAUAAAUAGUAAUAAAUUAAUACAAUUACAUAAAAAUAUAAUUUUUAGUAUUAAUAAGAUAUAUAAUUAUGAUAAAAGUCGAUUAUUAUUAUUUCAAAAAUUUCAAGAUUUAAUAAAUGCAUAUACACAGACACAUAAUGUAGUCGUACACUUACCAAAUACAACAAAUGGAGAUAAUAUUACCAAACCAACUACACAAAGUGAUUUUUCUGUUGAUAAAAAAAAAAAAAUUAAUUUAAUGGAUAAUGUUAUAUUUACUGUUAAUAUUGAUAUUGAACAAGAUCAAAAAAAUUUAGAAAAAUUAUUAAAUAUAAAAAAUAAUGAAACAGGUGGAAAUAAAAAAAGUAAUAUAAAUAGUAGUUAUCAAAAUAAAACAAAUAAUUUUUUAAAUAAAGAACAGUAUAAUAAUAAUUUUGUUUUUGAUCCAACAGAUAAUAUAGAAAAUAUAAAUUAUGAUAUAUUAUAUGAUAAAAUUACAAUUAAUGAAUUAUAUAUUUUAAACGAUAUAAAUUUAUAUAAUAAUAUUAUACAUAUUUAUAAAAAUGGAAUUAAUUUUUUUUAUUAUGAAAAAUUAAGAUCCAUUUUUUGGAUAUGGCUUCAAUCUAUUUUUAAUGAAGAUAUAAAUGUCGAAUUUGAAACAAAAAAUCGACAAAAUAAAAAUUCGACUGUAAUUGAUUUUGACGAUAUAAAUAUUAAUCAAUUCUUUAAGGAUAUAACAACUGAAAAACAGUCGGAAAACUUGAGCAUCCAUGUUUUAAGUGACCUAAACAACUUCGAAGCUAACUAUAAAAAAAUAAAAGAUUAUUUUCACGAGAGAGGAUUAAGCGGGUGUGACGGAAAGAAUGUAAAAAUGGAAAAAAAAAAUGUAGAUAUAAACAAAUUGAAUAGUAUUAAAAAAUAUAUUCAUAAUUUACAGCUAGAAUUUGAAGCAUUUUAUAAUUAUAAAAAAAGAGCUAAAGAUAUAAGUGAGGAUAUGUUUGUAAAUUUUUUAAAUGAAAAAAAAAAAAACAUAGUAAUUAAUUCAAAUGUUGAAAAAGAAGAUUAUACAAUUUUAUCUAAUAUUUUAAAUACAAAAUUAAUAAAUAUUGAUAAGGUAUUAAAAACAUUUUAUAUUUUGAAUUUUAGUAAUAUUGUUGAGGGUAUUAAAGAACAAAAUUUUAUACGUACAGCUGUUAAUGUACAUGAUUUGGAUACAUUAGACUGGGCUAACAUAUAUAAUAAUAGCAAAAAGAAAAAAAAUACUACUACUACUACAAGUGGUGAGAAUAAAAAUAAAAACUCUGAUGAUGAUAGUAUUACAAUUAUUGAUAAUAAAGAUUAUAUUAUAAAUUUAACUGCCAACUCCAAAUAUGGACUUAAUAAACCCCCUACCACAUAUGCAUCAACAAUUUUUAAAUAUUCUGACCAGUUCAUCUCAAAUAACGACGUUUAUACUUUUUCUGACAAUAUAAAAAAAAAAAAUGAACAGCUUUGUAAUAUUGCUGAGGACAAACAAAAUAAAUGUAUUCACAACUUUUAUCAUGUUUUAAGGAAAGUGGAAAAAUAUAUGGAUUGUGUAGCAUAUAAUUUGUAGCGUAUAAUUUGUGGCCUUUUUUUUUGUAGCGUUUUGCUUGUGGUUUGGAAGGAGGGGAGUUAACUUAGCACCUGAAUUUGUCAGCUCUUACUUAAGUAUGUUAUAUAUAUAUAUAUAUAUAUAUAUAUAUAUAUACAUAUAUAUACAUACAUAUACAUACAUGGCUAAUGGGAAAUGUCCAAAUGAAACCCCCCAAAAAUACAAUAUAAUAAAACUAAGCAAAAAUAUAUAUAUAACA